GAGAGCUUGCUCUCGGGCGACGAGCGGCGGACGGGUGAGUAAUGUCUGGGAAACUGCCUGAUGGAGGGGGAUAACUACUGGAAACGGUAGCUAAUACCGCAUAAUGUCGCAAGACCAAAGUGGGGGACCUUCGGGCCUCAUGCCAUCAGAUGUGCCCAGAUGGGAUUAGCUAGUAGGUGGGGUAACGGCUCACCUAGGCGACGAUCCCUAGCUGGUCUGAGAGGAUGACCAGCCACACUGGAACUGAGACACGGUCCAGACUCCUACGGGAGGCAGCAGUGGGGAAUAUUGCACAAUGGGCGCAAGCCUGAUGCAGCCAUGCCGCGUGUGUGAAGAAGGCCUUCGGGUUGUAAAGCACUUUCAGCGGGGAGGAAGGCGGUGAGGUUAAUAACCUCAUCGAUUGACGUUACCCGCAGAAGAAGCACCGGCUAACUCCGUGCCAGCAGCCGCGGUAAUACGGAGGGUGCAAGCGUUAAUCGGAAUUACUGGGCGUAAAGCGCACGCAGGCGGUCUGUCAAGUCGGAUGUGAAAUCCCCGGGCUCAACCUGGGAACUGCAUUCGAAACUGGCAGGCUAGAGUCUUGUAGAGGGGGGUAGAAUUCCAGGUGUAGCGGUGAAAUGCGUAGAGAUCUGGAGGAAUACCGGUGGCGAAGGCGGCCCCCUGGACAAAGACUGACGCUCAGGUGC
rnacentral:rRNA from 1 species